CAGUUUGAAAAAGAAGCAGAAGCAGAAAAGAAGUCACCAGGAAUGCCUAGAGCACGUUCUACAAAAAGCUGUCAACAGGGAAAGCAACCCCCCUCUGCUUCUUCUGCACUCAAAACUGACCUCUCCUAAAGCUGCUUUUCUGUUCAGUAAGUGGUGCUUCAUGACAAACUUGCACAAAAGCUACGAAUAGGGGGUGAUAAGAAAACAACCUGAGUCUAUGGAGAAUGGAACUUGAGGUGUGUGGCUUUAAAUAACAGUUCCUUGGAUUUUCUCUCUACAUUUCUAUUUGGCUUUAAUAUUGUAUUAUACUCCCUUAAAUAAAUUGCCCCAUUUAGGAGCAGGAUGCAAAAUAAAAUGUAACACUCCAUUACCUCCUUGCUGUAUAGAUUUAUAAUUUCACUCAAGGGUUUCGCAUGCCCUGUUUUCUUCCCCAUUGCCUCACUUAUCUUCCUGAGAACAUAAGGUACAAAAUCUCUUUACUCCCAGCUGUCAUCAUCCUUCUGUACCUUACCACUGCAUCCUCUCUGGCAUUAAGCAUUACUGUAUAGGACUCCAAGAGGUGGGAGCAGAUGCCAGGGGUAAAGAAGAGCUCCUGUACACUGAAUCUCAGGCCAUCCCAACUGUCCUCACUGUCUUGAGCUUGACCAUGCUGGGCUGAAGUUCCCAGUCCGACAGGUUGGCCCUGCCUUCUGCCUGCCCCUCAGAGCCGGCACGGGGCUGAGCCUUGGUGGCGGCAGGCUCUCCUCCUCCUUGCCUGCUCUCCAAAAACCACUAUGAGCUGCCCAAGAGAGGAGGCCAACAGUGGCCACGGCGAGGCCACGGGAUGCUUCCUCACUGAUACCACCACUUGGGACUUGAAAGGUAAGUCACUAGGGUUCUGUUAACCUUCUUUUUGGUGGGGAGCUUUUGUGCCUUGGACUGCAAAAAUAGGUGAAAGAAGAGGAGGGGUUUGUAAGCACAUGGAAGAUUGCUUAACUUGACUGUUGAAGAGGAACUGUGUUGGACUUGGUGUCAGUGACAAGUUAAGUGGGCCUGGUGUAAGCUAACAUUUCACCCAAAAUGACAGUAUUUGGGAUUUGCUUCUGCAACUUGUCUAUACAACAUGCCUAGUGAAACUUUCAGUUUGCCUCACAAUGCAGCUAAAAAGAGUGCAGAUUAACUAGUAAACAUAUCAAACAAUAAACACAGCCACCAAACUGUUCUGUUGCUAACAGGGGAGCUUGCUGUUAUGGAUUUGGCAGGAGAAAUAGAAAUGGCAGAAGUUAUUUUUUCUUUAUUUAAAAUUUUGAGAAGGGAUGCAUCAAUAAUUGGAACUGGCAGCCUGUUACUAUAGAGGUUUGCAAAUUGCAUUUGAUGUGAGGAAUGAUGGCAGCUGAAGUGUGAUCCAGUCAGUAGACUGGGAUCACUGUAAGAACUAAAAGGGAAGCUUAUGUGUGAACCACAUGAUGUGCUAAAGCUAAACUGAAUGCAUAUGUUAUAAGCAAAAAUGAACCAUGAUAUUGCGAACUCACCUUGGUGAAACAGGUGAAAACAUUACAUUGAAACAAUAAUAUAAUUUAAAUCUCACAUCUUUAAUGGGCCUCUAAAGGCAAGGACUUUCACAAAAGGGGACUGAAACAUAAAAUGCUUGCUUACACAUGCCAUAUGUGUUUGCCAUGAAAUAACACCAUCAGCUGGCUAAAUCAAUCGCAGUGGGACACAAGAAAUGACUUGCCUUAUAGCCUAAAAGCAUCACCUUUUAACUGUGCCAUGAUGGUUAUGGGAAGCCAGUGCAGAUGCUGGAGACUGAUGUAACACAACGCUUGCAAUAACCCUCCACCACACCAGUCCAGAAUUACCAUUUUAGGCUGUGUUGCCACUGAAGAAAAUCUGUGGACCUGUUUUCACACGUGAUAUAUGUUGCUUGUCAUUGGUAAAGGUUUUGUGCCAAAUACUAUAGUAAGGUAAGAGCUGUGAGCUGAGAGGUCCCUGGAUAGUUGUAAAAGUAUCAGCCAACCUUACAAAACUGUUUCAGGAACUACUGGGAGAAACCACAUAAAUGCUAAGUAUCAUCACGGCUAGCAAGCUUUAUAUGGCUUGCUUCCUAAACUGUUAAGGGGCUACUUUAUUGUGCGUCGGACCAUUGCUCCAUCUUUCUCAGUACUGUCUACACCAAGGGUAGCUGAACUGUCAUCCUUCAGAGAUGUUAUUGGAUUGCAGCCCGAUUGACCCUGAUUAGUCACCAUGCUAGCUGGGACUUAUGGUGGAGGAAGUCCAGCAACAUCUGAAGGGCUACAGGAAAGCUGGUAGAAGCUUUCCAAGGUUUCAGGCAGGAGUUUCCCCCAGUCCUACCUAGAGAUUGAACCUGAGAUUUUUUUGCACAACUCUUAUGCUAAACUAGCAUCCUUCCCAUCUGGAUUUGUCUUGCUGAACUUAUUGCUCAUCCUGAACCUGCUUCUUACGUGGUUCACCUUGAUCCCCUUCCGCUUUCUUUACGACAGACAUUAAUGUAGUUGAUCAGAUGAUAAUGGUAUUAUUUUAUUGUAUGCCAUAAAGUGUCAGAUUGUGUGCCCAUACAAAGGAAUUGCUUCAGUGCAGUGCAACCCUUCUUAGAUGACCUUAGAGUCCUACAAAUUUAUUGUUCAAUUUGACUGCAUAAUUUUUAAAGCAAGCAACAGAAACUAUAUUGGUCUGACUCUAUUAGCCACAUUAGUGAUCUCACAGUGAAAUGUCACUGAUCAGGCCAAUAGUCAUGUACUCAGUUACAUUGCUAACACUUCACUAUCCCAUUUUCAUGCUCCUGGUUUUGAUGUCAAUUCAUGCAUUACAUUUGGAGCCAAUUCGAGAGUUCUUAAAAGAAAUGUAUUGCAAAGUAUUUGUGACUCUUCUGGGUGUUUGGAAAGGCUACUGUUUUGUGCCUAUGUCUUGAUGGGCAUUUUAAGUGCAUGCAGGUCCCAUUUACUGAACACAAUCAGGGCCGUCUUAAGCAUGUCCGGCGCCGUGGUGCAAAUAUCCCUCUGGCGGGCCCCCCCGACUUG